rnacentral:rRNA from 1 species
AUUGAACGCUGGCGGCAUGCUUUACACGUGCAAGUCGAACGGCAGCACGGGCUUCGGCCUGGUGGCGAGUGGCGAACGGGUGAGUAAUAUAUCGGAACGUACCCAGAAGUGGGGGAUAACGUAGCGAAAGUUACGCUAAUACCGCAUACGAUCUAUGGAUGAAAGCAGGGGACCGCAAGGCCUUGUGCUCCUGGAGCGGCCGAUAUCUGAUUAGCUAGUUGGUGAGGUAAAGGCUCACCAAGGCGACGAUCAGUAGCUGGUCUGAGAGGACGACCAGCCACACUGGAACUGAGACACGGUCCAGACUCCUACGGGAGGCAGCAGUGGGGAAUUUUGGACAAUGGGCGCAAGCCUGAUCCAGCAAUGCCGCGUGAGUGAAGAAGGCCUUCGGGUUGUAAAGCUCUUUUGUCAGGGAAGAAACGGUAGAGGCUAAUAUCCUUUGCUAAUGACGGUACCUGAAGAAUAAGCACCGGCUAACUACGUG